rnacentral:rRNA from 1 species
UCUUGCACAAUGGGCGAAAGCCUGAUGCAGCAACGCCGCGUGCGGGAAGAAGGCCUUGGGGUUGUAAACCGCUUUCAGCAGGGAAGAAAAUGACGGUACCUGUAGAAGAAGGUGCGGCCAACUACGUGCCAGCAGCCGCGGUGACACGUAGGCACCAAGCGUUGUCCGGAUUUAUUGGGCGUAAAGAGCUCGUAGGCGGUUCGGUAAGUCGGGUGUGAAAACUCUGGGCUCAACCCAGAGAUGCCACUUGAUACUGCUGUGACUAGAGUGCGGUAGGGGAGCGGGGAAUUCCUGGUGUAGCGGUGAAAUGCGCGGAUAUCAGGAGGAACACCAGUGGCGAAGGCGCCGCUCUGGGCCGUGACUGACGCUGAGGAGCGAAAGCGUGGGUAGCAAAC